rnacentral:rRNA from 1 species
CCUACGAGCGGCAGCAGUGGGGAAUAUUGGACAAUGGGCGAAAGCCUGAUCCAGCCAUGCCGCGUGUGUGAAGAAGGCCUUCGGGUUGUAAAGCACUUUCAGUGGGGAAGAAAGCCUUGGGGCUAAUACCCUCGAGGAAGGACAUCACCCACAGAAGAAGCACCGGCUAACUCCGUGCCAGCAGCCGCGGUAAUACGGAGGGUGCGAGCGUUAAUCGGAAUUACUGGGCGUAAAGCGCGCGUAGGCGGUCUGAUAAGCCGGUUGUGAAAGCCCCGGGCUCAACCUGGGAACGGCAUCCGGAACUGUCAGGCUAGAGUGCAGGAGAGGAAGGUAGAAUUCCCGGUGUAGCGGUGAAAUGCGUAGAGAUCGGGAGGAAUACCAGUGGCGAAGGCGGCCUUCUGGACUGACACUGACGCUGAGGUGCGAAAGCGUGGGUAGCAAACAGGAUUAGAUACCCGAGUAGUC